AGUAUGACUGCUGGACUGUAUGGUCAAAGUAUGUUCAGUUUUAUAAGAAAAUGCCAAACUAUCUUUGAAAAUGGUUAUGCCAUUUUUCAGUCCCACUAGCAAU
rnacentral:pre_miRNA from 1 species